ensembl:rRNA 5S_rRNA 5S ribosomal RNA
UGAUACGUGCCAUCUUACCCUGCAGCUCAAGAGUGGUUACUCCCUGAAGUUAAGCAGGGCUGAGCCUGGUCAGAACCUGGAUGGGAGACCACAUGAGAAAACUAGGUUGCUGUUGGAA